GAUGAAGAACGCAGCGAAGUGCGAUAAGUAAUGUGAAUUGCAGAAUUCAGUGAAUCAUCGAAUCUUUGAACGCACAUUGCGCCCGCUAGUAUUCUGGCGGGCAUGCCUGUCCGAGCGUCAUUUCAACCCUCAAGCCCCCGGGCUUGGUGUUGGGGAUCGGCGAGCCUCCGCGCCCGCCGUCCCCUAAAUCUAGUGGCGGUCUCGCUGUAGCUUCCUCUGCGUAGUAGCACACCUCGCACUGGGAAACAGCGCGGCCACGCCGUUAAACCCCCAACUUCUGAACGUUUGACCUCGGAUCAGGUAGGAAUACCCGCUGAACUUAAGCAUAUCAAUAAGCGGAGGA
rnacentral:misc_RNA from 1 species